GAUGAACGCUAGCUACAGGCUUAACACAUGCAAGUCGAGGGGCAGCAUGAACAUAGCUUGCUAUGUUUGAUGGCGACCGGCGCACGGGUGCGUAACACGUAUCCAAUCUGCCCGUCACUCGGGGAUAGCCUUCUGAAAGGAAGAUUAAUACCCGAUGGCAUGCAUUUCCGGCAUCGGAGAUGCAUUAAAGAUUUAUCGGUGACGGAUGAGGAUGCGUACGAUUAGCUGGUUGGCGGGGUAACGGCCCACCAAGGCUACGAUCGUUAGGGGUUCUGAGAGGAAGGUCCCCCACACUGGAACUGAGACACGGUCCAGACUCCUACGGGAGGCAGCAGUGAGGAAUAUUGGUCAAUGGGCGAGAGCCUGAACCAGCCAAGUAGCGUGAAGGAUGACUGCCCUACGGGUUGUAAACUUCUUUUGUUUGGGAAUAAAAGACGCUACGCGUAGCGUUCUGCAUGUACCUUACGAAUAAGCAUCGGCUAAUUCCGUG
rnacentral:rRNA from 1 species